AACGAACGCUGGCGGCAUGCCUAACACAUGCAAGUCGAACGAGACCUUCGGGUCUAGUGGCGCACGGGUGCGUAACGCGUGGUAACCUGCCCUUAGGUUCGGAAUAACUCCCCUAAAGGGGUGCUAAUACCGGAUAAUGUCUUCGGACCAAAGAUUUAUCGCCUUUGGAUGGGCCCGCGUUGGAUUAGCUAGUUGGUAGGGUAAAAGCCUACCAAGGCGACGAUCCAUAGCUGGUCUGAGAGGAUGAUCAGCCACACUGGGACUGAGACACGGCCCAGACUCCUACGGGAGGCAGCAGUGGGGAAUAUUGGACAAUGGGCGAAAGCCUGAUCCAGCAAUGCCGCGUGAGUGAUGAAGGCCUUAGGGUUGUAAAGCUCUUUUACCCGGGAUGAUAAUGACAGUACCGGGAGAAUAAGCUCCGGCUAACUCCGUG
rnacentral:rRNA from 1 species